rnacentral:rRNA from 1 species
AAUUACCCACUCCCGGCACGGGGAGGUAGUGACGAAAAAUAACGAUACGGGACUCAUCCGAGGCCCCGUAAUCGGAAUGAGUACACUUUAAAUCCUUUAACGAGGAUCAAUUGGAGGGCAAGUCUGGUGCCAGCAGCCGCGGUAAUUCCAGCUCCAAUAGCGUAUAUUAAAGUUGUUGCGGUUAAAAAGCUCGUAGUCGAAUUUGUGUCUCAUGCCGCUGGUUCAUCGUUCGCGGUGUAAACUGGCGUGACAUGGGACGUCCUGCCGGUGGGCUUAGCUCUUAACGGGGCGGCCCUAUACAAUCCUGCCGCGUUGCUCUUGAUUGAGUGACGAGGUGGGCCGGCUCAUUUACUUUGAACAAAUUAAAGUGCUUAAAGCAGGCUAAAAAUUUGCCUGAAUAUGUGUGCAUGGAAUAAUGGAAUAGGACCUCGGUUCUAUUUUGUUGGUUUUAAGAACUCCGAGGUAAUGAUUAAUAGGAACGGAUGGGGACAUUCGUAUUGCGACGUUAGAGGUGAAAUUCUUGGAUCGUCGCAAGACGAACAUAAGCGAAAGCAUUUGUCAAAAACGUUUUCAUUGAUCAAGAACGAAAGUUAGAGGUUCGAAGGCGAUCAGAUACCGCCCUAGUUCUAACCAUAAACGAUGCCAGCCAGCGAUCCGCCGAAGUUCCUCCGAUGACUCGGCGGGCAGCUUCCGGGAAACCAAAGCUUUUGGGU